rnacentral:rRNA from 1 species
GACGAACGCUGGCGGCGUGCCUAAUACAUGCAAGUCGAGCGGACCAAUAGAAGCUUGCUUCUAUUGGUUAGCGGCGGACGGGUGAGUAACACGUGGGCAACCUGCCUGUAAGACUGGGAUAACUUCGGGAAACCGGAGCUAAUACCGGAUAAUUCAUCCCCUCGCAUGAGGGGGUGCUGAAAGUCGGUUCACGCUGACACUUACAGAUGGGCCUGCGGCGCAUUAGCUAGUUGGUGAGGUAAUGGCUCACCAAGGCGACGAUGCGUAGCCGACCGGAGAGGGUGAUCGGCCACACUGGGACUGAGACACGGCCCAGACUCCUACGGGAGGCAGCAGUAGGGAAUCUUCCACAAUGGACGAAAGUCUGAUGGCGCAACGCCGCGUGAGCGAUGAAGGCCUUCGGGUCGUAAAGCUCUGUUGUUAGGGAAGAACAAGUACCGGAGUAACUGCCGGUACCUUGACGGUACCUAACCAGAAAGCCACGGCUAACUACGUGCCAGCAGCCGCUGUAA